rnacentral:rRNA from 1 species
CCGCUCCUGCAGUCGAGCGGAUGAGAGGAGCUUGCUCCUUGAUUUACGGCGGACGGGUGAGUAAUGCCUAGGAAUCUGCCUGGUAGUGGGGGAUAACGUUCCGAAAGGAACGCUAAUACCGCAUACGUCCUACGGGAGAAAGCAGGGGACCUUCGGGCCUUGCGCUAUCAGAUGAGCCUAGGUCGGAUUAGCUAGUUGGUGAGGUAAUGGCUCACCAAGGCGACGAUCCGUAACUGGUCUGAGAGGAUGAUCAGUCACACUGGAACUGAGACACGGUCCAGACUCCUACGGGAGGCAGCAGUGGGGAAUAUUGGACAAUGGGCGAAAGCCUGAUCCAGCCAUGCCGCGUGUGUGAAGAAGGUCUUCGGAUUGUAAAGCACUUUAAGUUGGGAGGAAGGGCAUUAACCUAAUACGUUAGUGUUUUGACGUUACCGACAGAAUAAGCACCGGCUAACUUCGUGCCAGCAGCCGCGGUAAUACGAAGGGUGCAAGCGUUAAUCGGAAUUACUGGGCGUAAAGCGCGCGUAGGUGGUUCGUUAAGUUGGAUGUGAAAGCCCCGGGCUCAACCUGGGAACUGCAUCCAAAACUGGCGAGCUAGAGUACGGUAGAGGGUGGUGGAAUUUCCUGUGUAGCGGUGAAAUGCGUAGAUAUAGGAAGGAACACCAGUGGCGAAGGCGACCACCUGGACUGAUACUGACACUGAGGUGCGAAAGCGUGGGGAGCAAACAGGAUUAGAUACCCUGGUAGUCCACGCCGUAAACGAUGUCAACUAGCCGUUGGGUUCCUUGAGAACUUAGUGGCGCAGCUAACGCAUUAAGUUGACCGCCUGGGGAGUACGGCCGCAAGGUUAAACUCAGAUGAAUUGACGGGGCCCGCACAAGCGGUGGAGCAUGUGGUUAAUUCGAGCAACACGAAGAACCUUACCUGGACUUGACAUGCUGAGAACUUUCCAGAGAUGGAUUGGUGCCUUCGGGAACUCAGACA